rnacentral:rRNA from 1 species
GACGAACGCUGGCGGCGUGCUUAACACAUGCAAGUCGAACGGAAAGGCCCUGCUGUUGUGCGGUGCUCGAGUGGCGAACGGGUGAGUAACACGUGAGUAACCCCCCCUUGUCUUUGGGAUAUCUUCAGGAAACUGGGGUUAAUACCGGAUAGGAGCUCCUGCUGCACGGUGGGGGUUGGAAAGUUUCGGCGGUUGUGGAUGGGCGCGCGGCUUAUCAGCUUGUUGGUGGGGUAGUGGCUUACCAAGGGUUCGACGGGUAGCCGGCCUGAGAGGGUGACCGGGCACAUGAGGACUAAGAUACGGCCCAGAGUCGUACGGGAGGCAGCAGUGGGGAAGAUUGCACAAUGGGGGCAAGCCUGAUGCAGCAAGGCCGCGAUCGGGAUGACGGCCUGCGGGUUUAGAACAACUUUCGCCUUUAACGGGGCGGGAGUGACGGUAAUGGAUAAAGAAGCACCGGCUAACUACGUG